GAUCUUUCCACCGUCCACACUCUGUGGUGACCUGGGAUGUGUCUGUGCUGACCACUGCUGCUGACUGAGCCUGCUACAGAGAAGGUCCUGGGGAUCAAACUCAGGUUGGUCGACAAGUAGCGUUACCCACUUAGCCGUCCUACCAGCACCCGGUGCCUGGUUUUACAGUUUCAAGGCUGGAUGACAGAAGAUGGGGUAACAGCUAUCCCAGCUAUUUCCUGGGGGAGCCAACUUUCCCAGAAAAGGGAGUCCAGAACUGAUGCUGACUGGACUGAGCCUCCAG